GACUAUUUGGAGAGUGUCAAUCAACGCACAGAGUCUAGAGAAAGCUAUAGCUCGCUUUAGAAACCUAAUGCCAACAUCCAUGGAACAAUGAACACAAACCCCACCACCCAACUCUACAAAAUAUCAAAUCAAGGACUGCUUGCUAUAUGUCGACAUAUGAAAACUGUAAUAGAAUCUGGAAUGAAAGGAAGAUUUGCAUCAAGAAUCAGGAGUUGAACUGGAAGAUGGUUAGCAGGAUAAAGAUCUGGGCCUAAGAAGAGCAGCAUGUUUAAUUUUCUGGUUGUUAGCAAACUUGUGGGGCAAUCCAAUCACAUGCUCAAUAUCACUCUAGUUUCUCUGCAGUCUAAAUUCUGCAAAUUAUCACUGAAUUAUUUACUUACACAUUGCAGCCUUUCAUCUGUACCAUCCCUCUCUGUUGAUUGUACCCAUUUCUGUUAAAUCUUUACUUGGUUCAGUCUCUUUUGGCAGCACAUAUAUAUCCAACUCAUCAAAGUGACUGUGAAACACAGCUUGGAAUGAAUAUGAUUGGAAACUGUGCUUGCUUUGAAUAAUUUGGUGCUAAAAUAUGUUUGCCCGUGAAGGAUAUUUUGGCAUUUUGUAUACAUAAUAAGACACCAAUCAGUUUGACCGAUACUGCUUGAGGCUUCGGAAUUAAAGGGAUUUGCAGGGUAUGGAUAGAAGUGGGCAGCAAAGUAAUUCUGCUCCUAGUCCUUGUAAAAAUAGAGCAUGCACAUAACAAUUUAUGUUGAUAAUUUUGCCUUA